rnacentral:pre_miRNA from 1 species
AUCACCUGGGGAGCUUAUUAAAAUGCAGAUUUUGAUUCAUUAGGUCUGGGAUGGGACCUGAGAUUUUGCUUUUCUAAUAAGCUCCCAGGUGAUGUCCC